AUUGAACGCUGGCGGUAGGCCUAACACAUGCAAGUCGAGCGGCUGCAGAGUGCUUGCUCCUGGUUUCAGCGGCCGACGGGCGAGUAAUGCCUAGGAAUCUGCCAAUCAGUGGUGGCUAACGUCCGGACACGGGCGCUAAUACGGCAAUAGUCCAGAGGGACAACGGGGGGGAUCUUCGGACCUCCCGCCCUCAGAUGAGCCUAGGUCGGAUUAGCUAGUUGGCGGGGUAAAGGCCUACCAAGGCGACGAUCCGUAACUGGUCUGAGAGGAUGAUCAGUCACACUGGAACUGAGACACGGUCCAGACUCCUACGGGAGGCAGCAGUGGGGAAUAUUGGACAAUGGGCGAAAGCCUGAUCCAGCCAUGCCGCGUGUGUGAAGAAGGUCUUCGGAUUGUAAAGCACUUUUAGUUGGGAAGAAGGGCAGUAAGUUAAUACCUUGCUGUUCUGACGGUACCAACAGAAUAAGCACCGGCUAACUUCGUG
rnacentral:rRNA from 1 species